UUUAGGUCAAACAUUUUGUAAUAUUACAGUAUUUUCUAAACGUGGACACUUCUUUUUAGUGGGACAAAAUAACAUGUUCUAACAUACUGGAUCAGCAUACUUUAUAUGCUGUUAUUGCUUUGGGGUUGUCUUCCCGUGCGUUUUAGUGGCCACCGCUUAUGAAACUUUCUGGAAACGCCCCUGGCCACAGGCCGAGCGUAUUUGGCACGUCUGCGCAAAUUACGCAUCUCAUAAUGUGUUUUCCUGAAAGGUGAAUUAUUUUUCCAACGUGACCCUUAAAUCAUCAAGCGUUUGGGAUACUGACACAGUCUCUGUGAGUGAAUAAGGCGCUCAUCUUCAGUCUUUCCUGAAGGGGGAAAACGGUGCAGACACAUGAAAGGACAUGUCCCACCCCUCCCCCAACACUAACAGAAGCUGAGGCGCAGAAAAUCUACUGUUAAUAGCUUUGGCGAGAUUUCUGAUUUCAUAAUUCGAUGCAGUGUUGAUGUCAUGUGUGAUUAGAGUUAACAUCUCGAGAUCAAAGUCUUCUUGAAAUGUCGUUGUCUGCUGUUGUAAUUUACUUCCUCUACCUAAAUAUUCUUCAUCCGACAGUGAUCCAGUGAUGAUGUUGACCUGAGCCUCCUGCUCCCCGCGAUACUACCGGUUCUUAAACGCAGAGAGCGGGAGCUGCAAAGGUUUGUCACUGCAAUGCUGCAGCAGGAAAGAUGCAUGGAUUGGAAGGCUUGCUCUGCCUCCAAACAAAGAGCCCGGGUAGCCUGAGCGUGAUCAAUCUUUCCAGCCAAAAAGGUCUGACAGCUCUCUGCCAGAGAACACAUCUGAACCAUCCAACACUCCUUAGAUCAUAUUGGUGCCAGGAAGAGCGCAGCCUCGCUGGCUCUGGGGCUCUGGCUUUAUUUUAGUUUCUCUUAAAGAUCAAAGACUUUUAUCGAGAAAUUACAAAACUUUAUAUUUGGAAUCCACGUGCGAUUUAGAGAGAUAAAACCCUCUUUUGUCGAUUACAAAAUACGGGAAUUAUUUAAAAAAAAAUAAAUGUUGAUAACUGGACUGUCAAAUGUUUCUUGCAAGGAACGGAGCAGCUUUUUUAAUUUUUUUAAAUUUUUAUUAAGGAUCAGUUGUUCGCUGAGACGUUUUCCGGGCGGACCAGGGAGCGCCUCGUUUCCCGUCUGCUCUGGAGACAUCUGGGAGGCAAAGAGGCCAAAAAAAACAAAAAAAAAACCUGCAGCCACGCAUCCACACGGACAGAGAGUCUUUUAAAGCGAUAAUAUUUCAGCCAUCGUCCAGACGCAGAUGUUACUUUCAUUCUAAGUAAUAAAAAACAAUAAAUCUGAAAUGGCA